rnacentral:misc_RNA from 1 species
AAUACCUUUUUUUCAUGCUGGUGAUGAGAUGCUACGUUCAAAAUCACUUGAUCGUGAUUCAUACAACUCUGGAGAUUGGUUCAACAGGCUAGACUUCUCUUACAAUUCUAGCAAUUGGGGUGUUGGCCUCCCACCAAAGGAGAAAAAUGAAAGGCACUGGCCAUUAAUAAAACCAAGAUUAGCAGAUGAAUCCUUCAAGC